GCGGAAAACCGGAUAGCUGCAUGAUUAUAUCAUGAGGAAAGUCCGGACUCCACAAAGCAUGGUGCCGGGUAACUCCCGGCUGGGGUAACCCAAGGGACAGCGCCACAGAGAAUAGACCGCCAAAAUGGCCUUACAGGUUAUGGCAAGGGUGAAACGGAGGUGUAAGAGACCCCCACGUUUUUGGUAACAAAAAUGGUAAGGCAAGCCCCACCAGGAGCAAUGCCAAGUAGAACUGUAGGCUAGUUUAGCAAGGUUGCUUUGACCUUACAGUGUGGUAGGCAGCAAAAAAUGAAGGGUAACCUUUGUUUUAGAUGAAUGGCUAUCGAAGAGUGUCAACUCGGAACAGAAUCCGGCUUACAGGUUUUCCGCGUUU
rnacentral:RNase_P_RNA from 2 species